rnacentral:lncRNA from 12 species
AUGCUGAGAAAGGCUAAUAAAUCAAGGUUUUCAUACAAUUCUGCGAAUGCUGAGAGACAAGAAGAGAGUGGGUGCCAGGAUGAAAUGAGGAAGCACUCCUGCCAGCUUCUACCAAAAACUAGGUCCUGUCCUCACAGUCACGAGACGGGCAGAUGCCAUGGUCUAGCUCCAGGACAUAUGCUGUAUGGAUUUUCUUCUCCAGAAACGAUGACAUGGUCAGGUAACACCUCUGUGAUGGCAAGGAUUUCUGGUGCACAGUUUGUCUAUGGAAUUUACAACAAUCUUAGAUGCAAAAAGACCUACCUGACAAGAAUAAAAUCAAUGCUUUGUAUAAAUUAUCUGGGUUUACUGAGCCAUCACCUCAUUACUUACAUGGGUGUGGUUUCUAUUUGUAAUCAUCGGUUCCUCUCAUCAGUGCCUGGGGGCCUUGCCCCAAUUAGGAAUAGCCAGAAAGGAGUCACACAGACCCAUCUCUGUCCCUCAUUGUCAUCUGUGCAACAUUCUUCUCAUUCUAAGCUGUGAUGUUUUUCUGCAGACAUCCAUGCUGGCUCAUGCCAAUUCCAGGGGCUUUAGGGCUCCUUUGGAAUUCACUAAAGAAUUUUUAAGGAGCAAAGGUCCUGAUAUCUACCCAGUUAACAGUAUCAAAACAGAGACUUCUAAUAGAGCAAUAACUUCUUUUCUAUGGAAAGAAAAGAAACAUGAUAGGAGCAAGUUAUUUAUCCUCUUGAGAAAGCCCGAGUUCCUCCAGGCAGCCAACCGAAUCAUUUUGAGUUCCAUUUAUGUGCCACACAAUGUACGUGUUCCCUGGCUUAGGAUUUACAGCCUGGAGAACUAGAGCCUAUAGUUUUAGGGAAGCUCCCAGGAAUGUCCUUAAAAUGAUGUCCAUGGGAAAUUUGCAGUGGGGAGCAGUGAACACAGUGUUGUGCAGUGGACUGGGGAGACCCCAAGCUCUGAGACCUAGCCUGUGGGAAAUGUGUCCCCGAAGGUACUUGGUUUCAUCGUGAGAAAGAAUUCAAGGACAGACACAACACAGUGGAUGAGCAGUACAGGCAGGAAAGUUUAUUAAAACAAAAGUACACUCUUGUGAGAACAGGCAAGCUGGAGAGAGACAGAGCUGCAUGGGGGGGGGUUGGGUUUCUGUCUUUCAUUGACAGUUGUUAACAAGGGGUGGAAUAUUCAUUACUUGAGGUGGGGAUUUCGUGGAAGCAAGAUUUUUGUGCUUUUUCUUCCUUAUUUGGUCAGGGGUUUCCGGCCUUCUUUGUCAGCCAUCUUGGUUUAUGCGCAGUUUGAUCUGGCUUCUUUUGACUUUAUUUUGGAGCGCUGCCAGGACAGGCCUUUGACUUUCCUGAUAGCUGGCCAUGACUUCCUCCCUGCUGGCCUCCAGGCAUCCUGUCAGAACCUAACUAAGGGCCUCUAAAAACAGGAUGGAGAAAUGAGAGUUUUACUUAAUCCUGCCUAUCCUUAACAGAAAAAGCCCAGAACAAAAUUUCAUGUAGAUAUACAGUAGGCAGGUCAAGUUCUAUGCAGAGAAACUGGCUUAUGCAACAAAACUUAAAAACUGUCAAAAUUUUUUUAAGUCUAAAAUUGAUCUGAGGACACAAGACAAGCUCACAUUCUCUAAAAUCUAUCUCCCUUCUAUUUCCUCAUGUUUUCUGCUUCUAGUUCUUGGAAAAUGGGGAGAAAAGCAGGGGAAUUGGGUUAAAGAGACAAAUAAAUAACCUUUGUUCCCCCA